AUGCUUCUGUUCACUAGUGUCCAGGUGAUAGGUGGUAGUGUGGGGUUAUGUUGGGAGCCAUUUGGAACAUGCACUGUUUGCGAUUACCAGUAUUUGGACUGUUAUCUGCUGUUGUGAGAACUGCCUGUAAACCUAACCAGCAAAUCCUGCAUAUGAAGCUGUGUCCUGCCUGAGGUGAAAAUAAAAAGAGCAUGGGAGCUCAGGCAGGCUAUGUCUGCCACGUCUGCGGCAGCAGUAUCCAUUCCUAGCAUGAUAGUGUGGGAGGCUGGACGGCUUUGAGGAAUCUGGAUGCAGAGUGGCAGCAAAGGGAAUAAGGCUGAAAUAGUGAAUGCCAGUGCCUUGCGAACUUUAGACGUCAGUGCAACCUGAAUCCAUUCCCUAACCCCAGGAUACCUCAGAAGAAAAUCUGUAUUUGCACAACACGCCGCCUCUUCUGGGUUCUAUAAACAGCCACCUAUGCACAACCUCACAAUGUAUAGUAUUGAUGUGGUUUGGGGCAUUUUUAUAAGGGGUUUGUUAUGUCAAAAUAGCAUGUGUUAUGUUUAAACCAAUAGAAAAGCACUAGGAGAUGACUGUCGGUUUUCAGUCGUAUGUAUUGUUCUCCAUCAGAAUUACACUUUUAUUUGAUGCUGGACUCUAUCAGAAAUGGCAAAACCAACUGAGUUUCAGAUAUGUAACUUUACAUCGGCCAUUGUAUAUUUUAUACUUUUGCCUAUUAAAUAGAAUAUACUGACAAACCAGC